rnacentral:rRNA from 1 species
CCGUAGCGAACAGCUCAGUAACACGUGGCCAAGCUACCCUAUGGACGUGGACACCCUCGGGAAACUGAGGCUAAUCCGCGAUACGGCUCCCACGCUUGAAUGCGGGGAGCCGGAAACGCUCCGGCGCCAUAGGAUGCGGCUGCGGCCGAUUAGGUAGACGGUGGGGUAACGGCCCACCGUGCCGAUAAUCGGUACGGGAUGUGAGAGCAAAUAGCCCGGAGAUGGAAUCUGAGACAAGAUUCCAGGCCCUACGGGGCGCAGCAGGCGCGAAACCUUUACACUGCACGCCAGUGCGAUAAGGGGACCCCGAGUGCGAGGGCAUACAGUCCUCGCUUUUGUACACCGUAAGGAGGUGUACGAAUAAGGGCUGGGCAAGACCGGUGCCAGCCGCCGCGGUAAUACCGGCAGCCCGAGUGAUGGCCGCUGUUAUUGGGCCUAAAGCGUCCGUAGCCGGCCGAACAAGUCUGUCGGGAAAUCCAUCCGCCUAACGGAUGGGCGUCCGGCAGAAACUGUUCGGCUUGGGGCCGGAAGAUCCGAGGGGUACGUCCGGGGUAGGAGUGAAAUCCUGUAAUCCUGGACGGACCGCCGGUGGCGAAAGCGCCUCGGAAGGACGGACCCGACGGUGAGGGACGAAAGCUGGGGUCUCGAACCGGAUUAGAUACCCGGGUAGUCCCAGCCGUAA